GAGUUUGAUCCCUGGCUCAGGACGAACGCUGGCGGCGUGCCUAAUACAUGCAAGUCGAGCGGACAGAUGGGAGCUUGCUCCCUGAUGUUAGCGGCGGACGGGUGAGUAACACGUGGGUAACCUGCCUGUAAGACUGGGAUAACUCCGGGAAACCGGGGCUAAUACCGGAUGGUUGUUUGAACCGCAUGGUUCAGACAUAAAAGGUGGCUUCGGCUACCACUUACAAAAGACCCGGGGCCUUAGUAGUUGUGAGGUAACGGUCCCCCAGGCACGAUGGUAACCACCUGAGAGGUGAUCGCCCCCCUGGGAAUGAGACCCGGCCCAGAUUCCUACGGGAGGCAGCAGUAGGGGAUUUUCCGCCAUGGACGAAAGUCUGACGGAGCAACGCCGCGUGAGUGAUGAAGGUUUUCGGAUCGUAAAGCUCUGUUGUUAGGGAAGAACAAGUGCCGUUCAAAUAGGGCGGCACCUUGACGGUACCUAACCAGAAAGCCACGGCUAACUACGUGCCAGCAGCCGCGGUAAUACGUAGGUGGCAAGCGUUGUCCGGAAUUAUUGGGCGUAAAGGGCUCGCAGGCGGUUUCUUAAGUCUGAUGUGAAAGCCCCCGGCUCAACCGGGGAGGGUCAUUGGAAACUGGGGAACUUGAGUGCAGAAGAGGAGAGUGGAAUUCCACGUGUAGCGGUGAAAUGCGUAGAGAUGUGGAGGAACACCAGUGGCGAAGGCGACUCUCUGGUCUGUAACUGACGCUGAGGAGCGAAAGCGUGGGGAGCGAACAGGAUUAGAUACCCUGGUAGUCCACGCCGUAAACGAUGAGUGCUAAGUGUUAGGGGGUUUCCGCCCCUUAGUGCUGCAGCUAACGCAUUAAGCACUCCGCCUGGGGAGUACGGUCGCAAGACUGAAACUCAAAGGAAUUGACGGGGGCCCGCACAAGCGGUGGAGCAUGUGGUUUAAUUCGAAGCAACGCGAAGAACCUUACCAGGUCUUGACAUCCUCUGACAAUCCUAGAGAUAGGACGUCCCCUUCGGGGGCAGAGUGACAGGUGGUGCAUGGUUGUAGUCAGCUCGGUCGGAGAUGUUGUUAGCCGUCCCGCAACGAGCGCAACCCUUGAUCUUAGUUGCCAGCAUUCAGUUGGGCACUCUAAGGUGACUGCCGGUGACAAACCGGAGGAAGGUGGGGAUGACGUCAAAUCAUCAUGCCCCUUAUGACCUGGGCUACACACGUGCUACAAUGGACAGAACAAAGGGCAGCGAAACCGCGAGGUUAAGCCAAUCCCACAAAUCUGUUCUCAGUUCGGAUCGCAGUCUGCAACUCGACUGCGUGAAGCUGGAAUCGCUAGAAUCGCGGAUCAGCAUGCCGCGGAUUGAUACGUUCCCGGGCCUUGUACACACCGCCCGUCACACCACGAGAGUUUGUAACACCCGAAGUCGGUGAGGUAACCUUUAUGGAGCCAGCCGCCGAAGGUGGGACAGAUGAUUGGGGUGAAGUCGUAACAAGGUAGCCGUA
rnacentral:rRNA from 1 species